rnacentral:rRNA from 1 species
CGAAAGCGUGGGGAGCGAACAGGAUUAGAUACCCUGGUAGUCCACGCCGUAAACGAUGAGUGCUAAGUGUUAGGGGGUUUCCGCCCCUUAUUGCUGCAGCUAACGCAUUAAUCACUCCGCCUGGGGAGUACGGUCGCAAGACUGAAACUCAAAGGAAUUGACGGGGGCCCGCACAAGCGGUGGAGCAUGUGGUUUAAUUCGAAGCAACGCGAAGAACCUUACCAGGUCUUGACAUCCUCUGACAAUCCUAAAGAUAGGACGUCCCCUUCGGGGGCAGAGUGACAGGUGGUGCAUGGUUGUCGUCAGCUCGUGUCGUGAGAUGUUGGGUUAAGUCCCGCAACGAGCGCAACCCUUGAUCUUAGUUGCCAGCAUUCAGUUGGGCACUCUAAGGUGACUGCCGGUGACAAACCGGAGGAAGUGGGGGA